GACAGAGGGUGCAAACGUUGUUCGGAAUUACUGGGCGUAAAGCGCGUGUAGGCGGUCGUGCAAGUCGGGUGUGAAAGCCCUGGGCUCAACCCAGGAAGUGCACUCGAAACUGCUCGACUUGAGUCUCGGAGAGGGAAGCGGAAUUCUGGGUGUAGAGGUGAAAUUCGUAGAUAUCCAGAGGAACACCGGUGGCGAAGGCG
rnacentral:rRNA from 1 species